UCGGGAAUUUUGGGCAAUGGGCGAAAGCCUGACCCAGCAACGCCGCGUGAAGGAUGAAGUAUUUCGGUAUGUAAACUUCGAAAGAAUAGGAAGAAUAAAUGACGGUACUAUUUAUAAGGUCCGGCUAACUACGUGCCAGCAGCCGCGGUAAUACGUAGGGACCAAGCGUUGUUCGGAUUUACUGGGCGUAAAGGGCGCGUAGGCGGCAAUUCAAGUCAUCUGUGAAAUCCCCGGGCUCAACCUGGGAACUGCAUUUGUGACUGUAUAGCUAGAGUACGGCAGAGGGGGAUGGAAUUCCGCGUGUAGCAGUGAAAUGCGUAGAUAUGCGGAGGAACACCGAUGGCGAAGGCAAUCCCCUGGGCCUGUACUGACGCUCAUGCACGAAAGCGUGGGGAGCAAACAGGAUUAGAUACCCCUGUAGUCCCUGAGCGGGCUGGCAAGGCGCAU
rnacentral:rRNA from 1 species